UACGUAGGGACCAAGCGUUGUUCGGAUUUACUGGGCGUAAAGAGCGCGUAGGCGGUCUUGUAAGUGUGAAGUGAAAUCUCCAGGGCUCAACCCGGAAACUGCUUCGCAUACUGCAAGACUGGAGGAAUGCAGAGGUAUGUGGAAUUCCUGGUGUAGCGGUGAAAUGCGUUGAUAUCAGGAGGAACACCCAUGGCGAAGGCAGCAUACUGGGCAUUAUCUGACGCUGAGGCGCGAAAGCGUGGGUAGCAAACAGG
rnacentral:rRNA from 1 species